rnacentral:rRNA from 1 species
GGUGACGAAGCGACGCCGCGUGUGGGAUGAAGGCUUUCGGGUUGUAAACCACUGUCGGGAGUUAAGAAUUGUAGGAAUGCUAAUAGUAUUUCUACUUGACUAAGGCUCCGGAGGAAGCCACGGCUAACUCUGUGCCAGCAGCCGCGGUAAUACAGAGGCGGCAAGCGUUGUUCGGAAUUAUUGGGCGUAAAGAGCAUGUAGGCGGCUAUGUAAGUCGGUUGUGAAAGCCUUCCGCUUAACGGAAGAAUGGCGGCCGAAACUGCAUAGCUUGAGUGCGGUAGGGGAGAGUGGAACUUCUGGUGGAGCGGUGAAAUGCGUAGAUAUCAGAAGGAACGCCGGCGGCGAAAGCGACUCUCUGGGCCGUAACUGACGCUGAGUGUGCGAAAGCUAGGGGAGCAAACGGGAUUAGAUACCCCGGUAGUCCUAGCCGUAAACGAUGGGCACUAAGUAGAGGGGUUU